rnacentral:rRNA from 1 species
GAUGAACGCUAGCUACAUGCCUAACACAUGCAAGUCGAGGGACCGGUGCUCGGGUGAGUAACACGUAUCCAACCUGCUCUUUUCCCUGGGAUAGCCUUUCGAAAGAAAGAUUUACACCCGAUACAAAGGAUGGGGAUUCGUUUCAUUAGGUUGUUGGUGAGGUAAAGGCUCACACAGGCAUCGUUGGAUAGGGGUGCUGAGAGGAAGGUCCCCGACAUUGGAGCUGCGACACGGUCCAAACUCCUACGGGGGGCAGCAGUGAGGAAUAUUAGUCAGUGGGCGGUAGCCUUGACCAGCCAAGUAGCGUGAAGGGUGAAGGCUUAUGGGUCGUAAACUUCUUUUAUAUAAGAAUAUGUAUUAUAUGAAUAAGGAUCGGCUAACUCCGUGCCAGCAGCCGCGGUAAUAC